UAGCUAGUUGGUAGGGUAAGGGCCUACCAAGGCGACGAUCGGUAGCUGGUCUGAGAGGAUGGCCAGCCACACUGGAACUGAGACACGGUCCAGACUCCUACGGGAGGCAGCAGUGGGGAAUAUUGGACAAUGGGGGGAACCCUGAUCCAGCAAUGCCGCGUGUGUGAAGAAGGCCUGAGGGUUGUAAAGCACUUUCAGUGGGGAGGAGGAUUGACAGGUUAAGAGCUGGUUAAUUGGACGUUACCCACAGAAGAAGCACCGGCUAACUCCGUGCCAGCAGCCGCGGUAAUACGGAGGGUGCGAGCGUUAAUCGGAAUUACUGGGCGUAAAGGGUGCGUAGGUGGUUUAACAAGUUAUCUGCAAAAGCCCUGGGCUCAACCUGGGAAGGCCAGAUAAAACUGUUGGACUCGAGUAUGGGAGAGGGUAGUGGAAUUUCCGGUGUAGCGGUGAAAUGCGUAGAGAUCGGAAGGAACACCAGUGGCGAAGGCGGCUACCUGGCCUGGUACUGACACUGAAGCACGAAAGCGUGGGGAGCAAACAGGAUUAGAUACCCUGGUAGUCCACGCUGUAAACGAUGUCAACUAGCUGUUGGUCAUAUGAAUGUGAUUAGUGGCGC
rnacentral:rRNA from 1 species